UACGUAGGGCGCAAGCGUUGUCCGGAAUUAUUGGGCGUAAAGAGCUCGUAGGCGGUCUGUUGCGUCCGCUGUGAAAACCCAGGGCUUAACCCUGGGCUGGCAGUGGAUACGGACAGACUAGAGGUAGGUAGGGGAGAAUGGAAUUCCCGGUGUAGCGGUGAAAUGCGCAGAUAUCGGGAGGAACACCGGUGGCGAAGGCGGUUCUCUGGGCCUUACCUGACG
rnacentral:rRNA from 1 species